rnacentral:rRNA from 1 species
GCUGGGAAACUGGGUCUAAUACCGGAUAGGAGCCAUCUUUAGUGUGGUGGUUGGAAAGUUUUUCGGUGUAGGAUGAGCUCGCGGCCUAUCAGCUUGUUGGUGGGGUAAUGGCCUACCAAGGCGGCGACGGGUAGCCGGCCUGAGAGGGUGUACGGCCACAUUGGGACUGAGAUACGGCCCAG